AUUGAACGCUGGCGGCAUGCCUUACACAUGCAAGUCGAACGGCAGCACGGGAGCAAUCCUGGUGGCGAGUGGCGAACGGGUGAGUAAAGCAUCAGAACGUGCCCAGUCGUGGGGGAUAACGUAGCGAAAGCUACGCUAAUACCGCAUACGAUCUGUGGAUGAAAGCGGGGGACCGUAAGUCCUCGCGCGAUUGGAGCGGCCGAUGUUAGAUUAGGUAGUUGGUGAGGUAAAGGCUCACCAAGCCGACGAUCUGUAGCUGGUCUGAGAGGACGACCAGCAGCACUUGGACUGAGACACGGCCCAGACUCCUACGGGAGGCAGCAGUGGGGAAUUUUGGACAAGGGGCGCAAGCCUGAUCCAGCAAUGCCGCGUGCAGGAUGAAGGCCUUCGGGUUGUAAACUGCUUUUGUACGGAGCGAAACGGCUUCCACUAAUACUGGGGGCUAAUGACGGUACCGUAAGAAUAAGCACCGGCUAACUACGUGCCAGCCGCCGCCGUAAAAC
rnacentral:rRNA from 1 species